GCGAGAGUGGCGGAAUUGGCAGACGCGCUGGAUUUAGGAUCCAGUACCCACGGGUGUGGGGGUUCGAGUCCCCCUUCUCGCA
rnacentral:tRNA from 1 species